AAAAUAUGAGACGCAUGAUGCGUGGGUCCUUUUGUUCGAGAGGCCACAUCCUUGACUUGCUUCAAGUGCUGCCAACCCACUCUUUACCACAACAUUCACUCAAGUCUUAAGAUUCAUCAAAAUGAGAUUGUGGGCAACAAGUGCCGCAACCAAGUGGAGACUGUGGAGUGUAAUACUGCAGCAUCAGGAGCCAAAGCAAAGCCACACAAUGUCCUUCAAGGUGAGCUGUCCUUGCAUCAUGCUCUUGAAAACACAAUGAAGACGCUGGCCCACAGCAUCU